UCAAAACAGUAGAAUGACCCGCCCUGUUCUUCGUUCACAAUUGGUGAUUACAUAAUUAUGAUCGUUCGCUUUCCCUCGCUCAUCAACUCACUCACUCUCCCUCUUUCUCCCCAUCAUACUUUAAUUAAAUAAUGUAAUAUGUUGUUAUGUGUGAAAUUAGUUUCGGUAUAGUUUAGGUUCAAGGCAAUUAUCCGCGUGAUUAUCAGCUGGACAAUGCGCUUUCAAACUGUCGGUCAGGAGGCAGUGUGUUAUAUAGGCUUAUUUAGGACAAAGUCAAGGACUGAGUGGAGCAGGCCCUACUGUCAGGAGGCAGUGUGUUAUAUAGGCUUAUUUAGGACAAAGUCAAGGACUGAGUGGAGCAGGCCCUACUGUCAGGAGGCAGUGUGUUAUAUAGACUUAUUUAGGAAAAGUCAAGGACUGAGUGGAGCAGGCCCUACUGUCAGGAGGCAGUGUGUUAUAUAGACUUAUUUAGGAAAAGUCAAGGACUGAGUGGAGCAGGCCCUACUGUCAGGGGGCAGGCAGUGUGUUAUAUAGACUUAUUUAGGACAAAGUCAAGGACUGAGUGGAGCAGGCCCUACUGUCAGGAGGCAUUGUGUUAUAUAGACUUAUUUAGGAAAAGUCAAGGACUGAGUGGAGCAGGCCCUACUGUCAGGAGGCAGUGUGUUAUAUAGGCUUAUUUAGGAAAAGUCAAGGACUGAGUGGAGCAGGCCCUACUGUCAGGAGGCAGUGUGUUAUAUAGGCUUAUUUAGGAAAAGUCAAGGACUGAGGGGAGCAGGCCCUACUGUCAGGAGGCAGUGUGUUAUAUAGACUUAUUUAGGAAAAGUCAAGGACUGAGUGGAGCAGGCCCUACUGUCAGGAGGCAGUGUGUUAUAUAGGCUUAUUUAGGAAAAGUCAAGGACUGAGUGGAGCAGGCCCUACUGUCAGGAGGCAGUGUGUUAUAUAGGCUUAUUUAGGAAAAGUCAAGGACUGAGGGGAGCAGGCCCUACUGUCAGGAGGCAGUGUGUUAUAUAGGCUUAUUUAGGAAAAGUCAAGGACUGAGUGGAGCAAGCCCUACUGUCAGGAGGCAGUGUGUUAUAUAGGCUUAUUUAGGAAAAGUCAAGGACUGAGUGGAGCAGGCCCUACUGUCAGGGGGCAGUGUGUUAUAUAGACUUAUUUAGGACAAAGUCAAGGACUGAGUGGAGCAGGCCUUACUGUCAGGGGGCAAUGUGUUAUAAAGGCUUAUUUAGGAAAAGUCAAGGACUGAGUGGAGCAGGCCCUACUGUCAGGAGGCAGUGUGUUAUAUAGCCUUAUUUAGGACAAAGUCAAGGACUGAGUGGAGCAGGCCCUACUGUCAGGAGGCAGUGUGUUAUAUAGACUUAUUUAGGACAAAGUCAAGGACUGAGUGGAGCAGGCCCUACUGUCAGGAGGCAGUGUGUUAUAUAGACUUAUUUAGGACAAAGUCAAGGACUGAGUGGAGCAGGCCCUACUGUCAGGAGGCAGUGUGUUAUAUAGACUUAUUUAGGACAAAGUCAAGGACUGAGUGGAGCAGGCCCUACUGUCAGGAGGCAGUGUGUUAUAUAGACUUAUUUAGGAAAAGUCAAGGACUGAGUGGAGCAGGCCCUACUGUCAGGAGGCAGUGUGUUAUAUAGACUUAUUUAGGACAAAGUCAAGGACUGAGUGGAGCAGGCCCUACUGUCAGGAGGCAGUGUGUUAUAUAGACUUAUUUAGGACAAAGUCAAGGACUGAGUGGAGCAGGCCCUACUGUCAGGAGGCAGUGUGUUAUAUAGACUUAUUUAGGAAAAGUCAAGGACUGAGUGGAGCAGGCCCUACUGUCAGGAGGCAGUGUGUUAUAUAGACUUAUUUAGGACAAAGUCAAGGACUGAGUGGAGCAGGCCCUACUGUCAGGAGGCAGUGUGUUAUAUAGACUUAUUUAGGACAAAGUCAAGGACUGAGUGGAGCAGGCCCUACUGUCAGGAGGCAGUGUGUUAUAUAGACUUAUUUAGGAAAAGUCAAGGACUGAGUGGAGCAGGCCCUACUGUCAGGAGGCAGUGUGUUAUAUAGGCUUAUUUAGGAAAUGUUAAAGACGGAGGGGGAAUUACUUAAAAACGGCAGAGUAAUAAAAUUAAUAAAUUCCAUGAGCGGUCAAAAUGAGAAGAAUAAGGGUGAUCAAAGGUGAAAGAAAGAAGUGUGUGUGUGCGUGCGUGUGUGAGUGAGAGCGAGCAAGAAAGAAAGAGAGAGAGAGAGAGAGAGAGAGAGAGAGAGAGAGAGAGAGAGAGAGAGGAGGAGAGAAGUACAUCUGACGAUAUGGCAGCAGUGCAGGGCUAACGGUAAACAGAUUGAAAAAUCAAUUGCGGUUGAGCUGCCGAUGGGAGUGAACAUAUUAAUUAUGGACUGAAUAUAUCAGCAUUUGUGUCCUAUCACCGGCAUGGUUGGAUUACAGAGGAAGGCUUGGUCAAGAGAGAGUGUGUGUGCGUAUGUGCUUAUGUUUGUUUGUAUGUGUGUGUGUGUGAAACUACAGUGGUAUAAUAAGGGCUUUUAUGUCAAAUCAGCAGUGAAAAUUCUGCUUCCCAGAUUGACUCAAGUUGACCCUGAACAACAAAUCACUUCUUCUGGAAUUAUUUUUGUCAUGUAAUCUCUCAUGUGACAGGGAUCAAAGUACAGCAGCAUGGGUAAUGCCUUUCUCACCACUCACUUACUGCAGUCAUGUGACACACACACACACACACACACACACACACACACACACACACACACACACACACACACACACACACACACACACACACACACACACACACACACACACACACACACACACACACACACACACACACACACACACACACACACACACACACACACUGUCUUGUUUUGCCUGAUGACUGUCCUGUGUUAUUCCCAUGUUGGACUACCGUAUGCUAUACUAGCAUUAAAAAAAUGCUUGAGAGCCCUCUCUCUCCGUUAACUCCUCCUCUCACCCCUCGUCUCUCCUCUCCAGCACAGCGUGCGCUUGAUAUUUUAUGCCCGUCUCUGUGCCUGCCUGACUGCCGCCAAGUGCAUUUGGCUGCAUACAUUAAUUAAUUUUCUUCAGACUGGCACAUUCUUCUGCUCUCAACUUGUAGAGGCAAGAGCUCAAAGUGAAAGUCGGGAGAGGG